GAGUUUGAUCCUGGCUCAGAUUGAACGCUGGCGGCAGGCCUAACACAUGCAAGUCGAGCGGUAGAGAGAAGCUUGCUUCUCUUGAGAGCGGCGGACGGGUGAGUAAUGCCUAGGAAUCUGCCUGGUAGUGGGGGAUAACGUUCGGAAACGGACGCUAAUGCCGCAUACGUCCUACGGGAGAAAGCAGGGGACCUUCGGGCCUUGCGCUAUCAGAUGAGCCUAGGUCGGAUUAGCUAGUUGGUGGGGUAAUGGCUCACCAAGGCGACGAUCCGUAACUGGUCUGAGAGGAUGAUCAGUCACACUGGAACUGAGACACGGUCCAGACUCCUACGGGAGGCAGCAGUGGGGAAUAUUGGACAAUGGGCGAAAGCCUGAUCCAGCCAUGCCGCGUGUGUGAAGAAGGUCUUYGGAUUGUAAAGCACUUUAAGUUGGGAGGAAGGGUUGUAGAUUAAUACUYUGCAAUUUUGACGUUACCGACAGAAUAAGCACCGGCUAACUCUGUGCCAGCAGCCGCGGUAAUAC
rnacentral:rRNA from 1 species